rnacentral:pre_miRNA from 1 species
GAAUUCUGCUUCGAAUGGUUGCUUCAGUGAACAUUCAACGCUGUCGGUGAGUUUGGAAUUAAAGUAGAAACCAUCGACCGUUGAUUGUACCCUGCGGCAACCACCGUCCUCCUUUCUUCAUGCUUUC